UUAAAUUAAAGAUUCAAUUUGACCUCACCGGUGUCCUCUCUCUGAUACAGAUUGCAGAGCUGGUCGCCACUGAGUUCUUUGAACAGGGGGAUAAGGAGAGACGAGAGCUGAACAUUGAGCCCAGUGACCUGAUGAAUCGUGACAAAAGAGAUAAGAUUCCCAGCAUGCAGGUGUCCUUCAUUGAUGCCAUCUGCACUCAGUUAUAUGAGACUUUGGCAGGCAUGUCAGAGUAUUGCUCCCCAUUGUUGGAAGGAUGUCAGAAGAACCGGCAGCAUUGGAGGCUUUUGGCAGAGGAGUGUGAGAAGGGGCUGGUCAACGGCUUGGUGUGAUCCCAACACCAGUUUGGUUUUCAACCAACACAGAUUUCCAGGGUUAGCCCUGUACAACCCAGUCUCUCAAAAUUUCAUGAAAUUAGCAUGAUAUCUAAAAGGACAAAUAAGAUGCUUUGUGCUUGGAAAGUGCCCAAAAAUAUAAUUUUCCCAAGAUUAUAUAGUGAAAAAAACAUUAGAUUUGGUUUGACAGUGAAAGGGCGGAUACACUGGCCUUUAAAUUUAGCAACCAUAAAGCAGGUUUGGGUCAAGAGUUUUUUCUAAAACAUUAAAAAAUAUUCCAGUUUAUUGCAACUUUGGUCUCAUUUUGGUAGGUUGGUCCAUCCUUUCUUUCUGCAAUGAUAAGACUGUACUCACUAAGUUCAUAACUCAGAUCUGGGAAUCACUAAAGAAGACUAAGAGCCUUGCUAGCAGUCAGGCUUUACUUAGAGACAGCUAAGUCUCUAAGUUGAAAUGCUUACAUAUGCAUGGUAGCAGGUUAACAAGAACAGUGUUAGCAUGCUGAUGUUUGGAGCAGUGAUACUGCCAGGGCCCUACAGGAAGUUUCAGUGGGUCUACAAAAAAUAGAGAAUGGUUUGUUUUCACUAUUUAAUUCACUAUAGAAGAGAGCCUAGUGUGAGUAAGAGUCACAAGAGUGACUGUAGUUGAUAACUAAAUUCUAAUCAGAAUCAUGUCUAAUAACUAAAAUCUUCUUAGAUCGUCUGUGAAGUGAAACUUAUCACAAAGGUCUGUGACCUAAUGUGUAUCAGUUUAGGGGUCCUUGAAAAAAGGUUGAGAACCACAGGUUUAUGGUACUGUAUAAUGUUUCCCAUGUUCUUAGUUGGAAUGUCAUUUGCUUUGCAAGAAUUUUCAUUACCCAAAGUAUCAAUUCAGGAAUGGGAUCACCAAGGUCAUUACAAUGAGUCCUCUGGGAACUAGGACCCAACCAACAAUUGUAUGUGGGGCCCAAAUGGGUCGUAAAUAAACAGAAAAAUGGGCCCUAUAUGGGAUUGUCCACAGAUUCCGUAUUGGCCCUAUGUCAGUUGCCCACAUGGGUGGGUUUACCCAAGUGAUAAGAUGCCCACUUUGGGACCAUAUCCACUUCGUACCAAGGUAGCCCUAGCAUAACCUAUGUGGGGCCCACUUGAUUCAGCCCAACCAUGUGGGCAACUGGCAUGGGGCCAUUAUGGAAACCAUGGACAAUUCCAUAUAGGGCCCAUUUUUAGCCCAUUUACUAUUCACAUGAGCCUGACAUACAAAUGUUGGCUGGGGAAGGAUUGUACAAGUUUCAUGGCGAUCCAUCAAGUGAUGUUGAGAUAUGCCAGUCAGGACCAAAGGGUAGACCAACUAACAGAACGGCAGGCCAUCCACAGAGCCAUGCUGCUAGCAUGGCUAAAAAGAUCACCAAAAGUGGUGCAGUCAGUUAGAGUACUUUUGCAUUACAAAAAAAUGAAAACACCUUUGCAAUUCCUUCAUUCAAUACCAUCAUUGCAUAGCCUAGUCCUGUAACUCUAGAGGCUAACAACAGGAAUGACAGACCAAAGUGCGCCCUCCUCUCACUCGCCUGAUGUAAUGGUUGUUAACAAGUUUAACAACAGAGACGAGCUGUUUCACUGUCAGUGUUAGUUUGUUGGGAUGUUUAGCAGCUCAGUGUUGGAUGUUAGCCACUGCUGCUGUGUUAGCUCGUGCCACCCAGGAAGACUUUGAACUUCGUGUUGCUGAGUGGGCAACAGCUCAGAGCACGACGGCAGCAGAGAGUUUGUUAGGACUGUUUAACGGCCCGGUGUUGGAUGUUAACUGCUGCUGCGUUAGCUUGUGCUUACUGGGCAGACUUUGAACCGACCAUCCGCUAAGAAGAGUGACUCCAAAAACACAGCGACAGAAAGUAUGCUUAUUUGGUGGGGAGUUGGGACAGUGUGGGAUCAGAUCCCCAGCACAUAAAGGACCAAAUAGAAGUAUCAUUUGAAGUUUUGAUACUACUUGGUACUGGGUUAUUUAGGUCGUACCACUGCCCAGCCCUAAUGCAGUACAGUUUAAUCGCUCCCUAUCACAUCUCAGUUUGCAUUUCAUUGUGACAUUCCUGUACUUUUCACCCACAUAUUCAAGUGCUUCCACAUCAUAAAGGCUGUUUCUGCCAUCUUACCAGCUGAACCUCACAUGUGCACUUCACAACUGCAGGAUUGGAUACCUUCCACUAGAACACAGCUAACCACAGAAACGUAGUAGUAGAAGCAUAGAUUUUAAUAAUGUGUAGAUACUGGAUGGCAAAAUGGCAUCAACUCAUUCCAAUGGAGUUGUUUGUCUGGAGCAUAUGCCAAAAAAACGUGAAUAUGCACAGAAGUGUUAUCCGCUGGCUCCUCCCGCAAGUUCCUGUGCAGCUCAUCAUUGUGAUGACAUCACAGGCUUUUUUUUCUCAGCUUGAGGAAAGUUUUACAAAUAUUAAACCUCCAUGGAUCAGAAAUUCGUAACAGAAAGAGUUAUAAUUGACCUUGUUUGCAGUUUGAGGUGUCCUGUCAACGGUUUUACAGACAUCUCUUUGACAAUGGUGGUCUACGGAGAAAAUGCCUUUUUGGGCGCAGGGCAUUUUUCACUGCAGUACCGUGAGUGGCCACCAGGAAAAAGUUGCUGCAAGGCUGAGCAGCAUUCCUGUGGGCCUGAGUAGAAGUAGUAGCUACUUUGCAACACUUUACCCCUGACAUCAUUAUUAUCAUCAUUUCUCUUUGCACUGUGAUCACUUUGGAUUUUUUUCUCCAAGUAAAGUGGAUUUAUAAAAUCUGGCUAAAUUGGCUCGUCUAACAGCUCAUUUCUUGCCCUGCUGGACUGCGUUGGAGCAAUGUAACUAUGUUCCCAGAUCUCAGCAAUAACUUCAGUGAGUACAAAUCAUAACAGUUAAAACGUUUGCCUAAAUCUAGUUAUCAUAUCUUCUACCAUAAACACGUUCAUUAAAAAAAAUCAUGACAAACAGGUGAUAAUGAUGUGCAUGUUCAUAACCCAUAUUUCCGAGGUCAUGCUCAUUUCACCAAGCUUUGUGAGACUUGUCCUCCUGUCAUCACCAUUCUUUCAUGGCUGUCUUUCACCAGAGAAAAUAACAGAGUCAGCACUAAGCUAUAUUUAUUACAAUAGUCAUUUUUUGUUUUUGCACAGAGUGGCUUUCAUCUUGAAGUCUCACUUACAUUAUCUCUCACAGGUAGUAACAUUUAGGGGAACACUGAAUGAUGAGACAUAGAUCCCUGGGGAUCAGCACCAGUACAGUGGUAAACAGAUACUGUACUUAUAAUAUGUUUUACAUAAUGUCACAAUUAUCUGAUACAUUCAUACAAGGAGGGUAAGGGCCAAAGAAAAAAAAGUCUUAGAUUUUGAGAAUAGAGUUGCAAAUCUACAAGAAUAAAUUCAUAUAUCUAGAGAAAAAAUAGUCACAGUUUAAAACCAGAAAGUCAGGUAACAUGAUAUAAAAAGCAACAAAGUGUGUACAAACAGUGUUAAGGGUGACAGUAAUAUAUAUUUUAGCAGUACCAAAGUAAUAUAACACGUUGCCAACAAGAUUUCAGGUGAUAUUAUUACAUUUACAAUGUAAUGUAAUGCAUUACCACCCAAAAACUGUUUAUUUUUGUAAUCAUUUUUCAUUUAUCCAGUGUGAUUACGAGCUUAGUCUUGUAACAUUUAAACUUUAUUCUCAUAGAUUUACGACCUUAUUCUCACAGAUUCACUACUUUAUUCUUGUAGAUGUACAACUUUGUUCUUGUAAUAUUAUGACUUUGUUCUUGUAGAUUUAUUACUUUAUUCUCAUAACAUUAUGACUUUAUUCUCAUAGAUUUACGACUUUAUUGUAGAUUUCUGACUUUAUUCUCUUAAUAUUAUGGUUUUAUUCUCGUAGAUGUAUGACUUUAUUCUCGAAAUCUAAGAUUUUUUUUUCAACAUCGAGCUAAUUGUCCUUUGUAGUGAUAAGCUUGUUAAAUGUCUUCAUUCACAGCACACACAGCUCACACACACUACAAGGGUUUGAGUCUUUUGUAACAUUUUUUUUUCCACUCAUUGUCUUAACUAUUGUAUAUUUAUUUAUGUUUUAUAUAUUUAUUAGAUUUUCUAUAUUGUAAGGUCAUCCUUUUGUCAAGAGCACACAAUUCUCUAUAUAGGAAAUGUAGUUUUCAUACUUAAAAAAUAUCCUAUCUCUGCUUUUUUGAAGGAGCUUUCUUAGGAAUUAAUCUUUUAGAUGACAUUUGUACUGUAAUGUGUUGUUUGAAAUUUAGAUUUUAUUUUCUUCUUUUCAAAAUGUAAGAGAGCCAAAGACUAGGCCUGCGAUUUCAAUGGGAAAUGGGUCUAACUUUUUCCACUGCCUUGUUGUGAUAAAAUAGGACCAAUUCACAAUUAAAAAAUGUUUGUAUUUGUUCACAUCUUUCUGCACCCUUUGA